rnacentral:tRNA from 1 species
CGAAGAAUAGUUUAACGUAAGAAUGCUGGCUUUGGGAGUCAGCGGUAGGAGUUAAAAUCUCCUUUCUUCGA